GAUGAACGCUAGCUACAGGCUUAACACAUGCAAGUCGAGGGGUAACGAGAGGAAAGCUUGCUUUCCUUGUCGACGACCGGCGCACGGGUGAGUAACGCGUAUCCAACCUGCCCCCAACUAAGGAAUAACCUUGCGAAAGUAAGACUAAUACCUUAUAAUUUCCUCAGAUGUCAUCUGACGAGGAAUAAAGAUUUAUCGGUUGUGGAUGGGGAUGCGUCUGAUUAGCUGGUUGGCGGGGUAAUGGCCCACCAAGGCAACGAUCAGUAGGGGUGCUGGGAGGCAGGGCGCCCACAUUGGGACUUAGACACGGUCCAAACUCCUACGGGAGGCAGCAGUGAGGAAUAUUGGUCAAUGGGCGAAAGCCUGAACCAGCCAAGUAGCGUGCAGGAUGACGGCCCUAUGGGUUGUAAACUGCUUUUAUACAGGAAUAAAGUUAGCCACGUGUGGUUAUUUGUAGGUACUGUAUGAAUAAGGACCGGCUAAUUCCGUGCCAGCCGCCGCAGUAA
rnacentral:rRNA from 1 species